rnacentral:rRNA from 1 species
CAGCAGCCACGGUAAUACGUAGGGUGCGAGCGUUAAUCGGAAUUACUGGGCGUAAAGCGUGCGCAGGCGGUUGUGUAAGACAGGUGUGAAAUCCCCGGGCUUAACCUGGGAACUGCGCUUGUGACUGCACAGCUAGAGUAUGGCAGAGGGGGGUGGAAUUCCACGUGUAGCAGUGAAAUGCGUAGAGAUGUGGAGGAACACCGAUGGCGAAGGCAGCCCCCUGGGCCAAUACUGACGCUCAUGCACGAAAGCGUGGGGAGCAAACAGGAUUAGAUACCCGAGUAGUCCCUGUCUCUUAUAC